rnacentral:rRNA from 1 species
UACAGAGGGUGCAAGCGUUGUUCGGAAUUAUUGGGCGUAAAGGGCUCGUAGGCGGUUUGUCGCGUCGGGAGUGAAAUCCCCGGGCUCAACCUGGGAAUUGCAUUCGAUACUGGAUAGCUAGAGUUCGGCAGAGGGAAGCGGAAUUUCCGGUGUAGCGGUGAAAUGCGUAGAUAUCGGAAGGAACAUCAGUGGCGAAAGCGGCUUCCUGGACCAGAACUGACGAUCAGGCACGAAAGCGUGGGGAGCAAACAGGG